rnacentral:rRNA from 1 species
UACGAGUGCCCCAAGCGUUGUCCGGAAUCAUUGGGCGUAAAGGGUGUGUAGGUGGUCAUGUUAGUCUUCUGUUAAAUUCUUCGGCUUAACCGGGGGCAUGCAGGGGAAACGGCAUGACUAGAGGAUGCGAGAGGUGUGUGGAACUCUAAGUGUAGGGGUGAAAUGCGUUGAUAUUUAGGGGAACACCAAAAGCGAAGGCAGCACACUGGCGCAUACCUGACACUGAAACACUAAAGCGUGGGUAGCGAAUGGG